GAUAAGUGAUGAAGAGAAGACUCUUUGAGAACAGGAGAUUGUUGCCUCAUCACCAAGUUUAAGUGGACUUAAGUUGGGGUUCGAGUCCAUUUAUAAGAUCCCUUUUGCUGAUGCUCUGGAUUUGUUUCGAGGAAGGAAAGUCUAUUUGAAAGGUGGCUUUGCUUACGUACCACUUAAGGACAUUGUGGCAAUCAUCCUGAAUGAAUUUAGAGCCAAACUGUCCAAGGCUUUGGCAGAUGUGUAAUGAAACAUGAAGACGUCAAAUAUAAAGGAUGGCAAUUGCUCAGACUUGUCCUUUGCUUGUCUGGUUAUCCAUCAAACACUAUCAGUGUGAUUGUGCCAGAAAGUAUGAAAUAAUGUUAUUGGAAAGCAGUCAGUCAACUUUAUGUCAAGGUCACUUAAAAGUCUCAGCCAGCUGUUCUGAUAUCAAAGAGCAUUUUACAAAUAUGAUAUAUUAAAAUGAUUACUCUUAGGAAGUGUAUCCCCAAACAUGCUUACUUUACCCUGACUCUUGAUUUUAUGCCUUGGUACUUUGAGUAGAAUAGGGCAGGUACAGAUAAUAGUAUGUCACAGUGGUCUAGAAUCUACACCUUUCCUGCUUGCAGUAUGGUAUUAGCUAGGGU